CAUUUUAUGUCAGUUAGACUUCUUUGGUUGCCAGUAAGAGAAGCUGACUCUAAUCUAAACCAAAAGGAAUUCAUUGGACGGAUGUGGGUUGGCUCACAAAAUCAAAGGGACAACUGCGGAGCCGAUCUUGGAAUGCUCUGACACCAGAACAGCUCUGUGAAUUCAGAUAGGGGUAGUGAAUUGACCAUUUCAUCAAAUGCUGCAGCAAGCUAGGUGGUUUCCCCAAAGGAAAUUGAGGAGUGUUACAAGAAGACCAUUAGGGGAACGGUUAUCUGGUGGCUGAUAAUAACAAAUUUCCAUGGCAGUCUCUUUGCUCUCUGUUGGAAGAGGUACUCCACCAUGGGCCUUGAGCAUCUCUACACAUCCUUGCUAAGCGUGUCAAAUUUCAAGUCCUAACUGUCCUCUGUCUCUGGAGGAGGAGACAGGUUUGGUUACUGUUUGUUGUAAAAAUUACUGAGCCCUUCACCAUGGGUGCCUCAGCUGUAUGCAAAGCCCCUUGUAUUGCUGGGGGACAGAGCAACUGGUACUGCCAUGCUGGUGCUCUGGCUGUUUGCUGUUGGCAAUAAACUAUUCUGUUUUGGUUCA
rnacentral:lncRNA from 10 species